AGUGGAUGGGGAGCAACCUAGUUGUGCGUGUGUAAAGGUAGUGCCAAGAAAAGCGAUGAUCAUGUUGAAAAUCAAUUCCCGGUACCCGAAACCGACACAGGUGGGCAAGUAGAGAAUACUAAGGGGCGCGAGGUAACUCUCUCCAAGGAACUCGGCAAAAUGACCCCGUAACUUAGGGAGAAGGGGUGCCACCGAGAGGUGGUCGCAGUGAAGAGGCCCAGGCGACUGUUUAGCAAAAACAUAGGUCUCUGCAAACUCGAAAGAGGAGGUAUAGGGGCUGACGCCUGCCCAGUGCCGGAAGGUUAAAGAAGUUGGUCAGUUUUAGGAUGAAGCUAGCGACUGAAGCCCCGGUGAACGGCGGCCGUAACUAUAACGGUCCUAAGGUAGCGAAAUUCCUUGUCGGGUAAGUUCCGACCCGCACGAAAGGCGUAACGAUCUGGGCGCUGUCUCGGAGAGAGGCUCGGCGAAAUAGGAUUGUCUGUGAAGAUACGGACUACCUGCAUUUGGACAGAAAGACCCUAUGAAGCUUUACUAUAGCUUGGAAUUGUGUUCGGGCUUCCUGUGCGCAGGAUAGGUGGGAGGCGUAGAAGGUAUUCUUGUGGGGAUACUGGAGCCAACGGUGAGAUACCACUCUCAGGAGGCUAGAAUUCUAACUUAAUUAAGGACAGUUUCAGGUGGGUAGUUUGACUGGGGCGGUCGCCUCCAAAAAGGUAACGGAGGCGUACAAAGGUUCCCUCAGACUGGUUGGAAAUCAGUCGAAGAGUGCAAAGGCAGAAGGGAGCUUGACUGCGAGAAGUACAGUUCGAGCAGGGUGGAAACACGGUCUUAGUGAUCCGACGGUGCUGUGUGGAAGGGCCGUCGCUCAACGGAUAAAAGUUACUCUAGGAUAACAGGCUGAUCUCCCCCAAGAGUUCACAUCGACGGGGAGGUUUGGCACCUCGAUGUCGGCUCAUCGCAACCUGGGGCGGAAGUGCGUCCCAAGGGUUGGGCUGUUCGCCCAUUAAAGCGGUACGUGAGCUGGGUUCAGAACGUCGUGAGACAGUUCGGUCCAUAUCCGAUGUAGGCGUGAGAGUAUUGAGAGGAGCCUUCCUUAGUACGAGAGGACCGGGAAGGACGCACCGCUGGUGUACCUGUUAUGAUGCCAAUUGUAAACGCAGGGUAGCCAAGUGCGGAGAGGAUAACCGCUGAAAGCAUCUAAGUGGGAAGCCCACCUCAAGAUGAGUAUUCUGGUGUAAGGUCACGGGAAGACGACCCGUAAAUAGGCACGAGGUGGAAGUGCAGAGAUGUAUGAAGCCGAAGUGUACUAAUAGACCGUCGGCUUGAC
rnacentral:rRNA from 1 species